CUUGGAUCAUCAUUAGAAUAAUAAAAGUAAGACUCUCAUAUUCAUUGAUUUAUCUAGACCUGAAUGUUUAUUCAGCACAGACACAGUCAUGUCACACAAGUUGAGGAAUAUAUUUCUCUUCGCACUAUUCAUUCUUGAGUGCAGAUCAGAGGACACAGUUGAUCAGCCAGACAAACAUGUGACUGAAGCUGAAGGAAGAUCAGUGACAUUACAGUGUAAAUAUAAAACAGAUUCAGCACAAGAAGGUUUAUUCUGGUACAUCCAGAGAGCAAAUGACUUUCCUAAAUACAUCCUGAGGAGAAGCAAAUAUGGAGGAGAAAAUGGCACUGAGUUCCAGGAGAGAUUUCACUCUGAACUUUCAUCAAAUUCAGUUCCUCUGAUGAUCAAGGAUCUGCGUGUGUCUGACUCUGCUGUGUAUUACUGUGCUCUGAAGCCCACAGUCACAGGAAACACAUCAGAUCUAUACAAAAACCUGUUACAAUGAGACAGAGACAAAAACAGAUAGAAAGAAACUGUAACUGACAAUUACAGUAUUAUGUAUGUCAGGAAAGUAAUAGAACAAAUGAAUAAAUCACAGGUACCAAAUCAAAAGGUAGACACAGAUUUCUUUUCUUUUAAUUAUAAGGUGUGAAUUUGUGUGGCAAUGUGAAAGAUUUACAUUACAUUCAAUUAGAGUUAUUAAAUCCCUAUAAACUGCCCUUUAAUACAAGCAACAACAAUAAAACAUCUCAAAUUAUUGUCAUGUGCAAUAUACAGUAGCGGCAAAAAAUGAUAUCUGGAGACUAUAUAUAUAU